CGGUAGAUCCCUAGAUUAGAAGUCUCUGCAUUUUUUGAGAUACUUUGCCUUACCUCAGAUACAUGUCCUCAUCUCCAAAUGAGUGAGCUACAGAACCUGUUAGAUGCGGAGUUUCUAUUGGCCCAGAUCAGAUGUGUUCUGUCAAGUUUUAAGAUUGGAUAGUUGUUCUUGCCAGUCUAUUACAACUUUCCGAGAUCUAUCAGACAUUAGCAUAACAGGAGUUUUCCUGCAAUGGUUCAGCUUCUCUCCAGCACGCUUUAUUUCAAGCGUUUUUCCCUACUUAAUGUUCUAGGAGGGAUUGACGAGGAAGAAAAGGGUGUGUCUUUACAUACGACGCUGUUGGAUCAUAUGAGCGAGUUGGAUACGGUGCACAAGGUUCUGGUUCCACACUUAUCAUGCCUUUCCUUGACAACCAGCUCAAAUCGCAAGUCCCCUUCUGCGCUACCUAAACAGGCUUGUUGAUAUUCUUCAUUUUUCUUUUUCUUAUAAAUCCGACCAUGUACUCACACGUCUGUUUUUGGUAGGUGCAUGUAUUCUUGGCCAUGGAAGAUACACAAGGAUCUAAGUGAAGAGUCGAGAUGUUUGUUCUGUUGGCUGGUGGGGACUCGAGGAGGCUGCUUGCAGAGCCAAACUCAAAAGGCCAAGGUUUUUAACUGCUGACAAAGAUAGACGGUGAUUCAAGAGGUGGUGCUGCUUUGAGUCUCAAGGAAGUUUUUGUUAGUCUCAAGGAAGUUACUUUGUUAAUGUGAAAUGUUUCGAAUUGUACAUUAAGUAUAUAAAUGGCUGAGGACAGAGAGCUAUUCGAACCAGUAGCUACAAAACAAAGCAAGCCGCAGGAAAUAUCAAGUUACUCUUACCGAAGCAAGCACAUGCAUUUAGGUGUGGAGAAUUAGGGUUCCUGGAGCUUCGUACUCAAAGCCAUGUGUCCUUAUUUAUCUAUGGGCCAAUUUACUCGGUCAGGAUUGAUAGAAUUGCUCGUGUUGCCUUCGAUGCUGCUCGGAAACGGCGUGACAAGCUGUGUUCUGCUGCAAAAGCUAAUAUAUUGGAAGCCUCAAUUUUAU